UAUGAAGCUGAUUCCAGUCCUAUCAUUACACUCCGUCAGUUCCGUUUCAUUUGUGGACCAAUGACUGCACAGAGGCUUUUCAGUUUAAUUAUAUUGGAUCAUGUGUCACACAGACUUUGUACUUUGAUUAUUACACAGAAACUCAGUCUGAAUGUGCUGUGCUGUCUGAGGGUUAGUGUUAGUACAUUUUUACUGAUCCACUGAGUAGUCAUAUUUCCGAUGACACGUGAACUACUCUUACGCUGUUAAACGGAACUGAGUUGGCUGAGACUAUGAUCUGUACCAGCGACGAUGUUCUCCUCCUGGUUUGGAUAAAGACUCACCUCCUCCAGAUCUCAGUGAGAUGGUCUCCUCAGCUCAUGAAAACAAUCAACCUUCCUUUCAAAAUGACUUCCAGAGGAAAACCUUUGACAGCUGCAUCUCUGUUGUCAUUUCAGUGUCCAGAAAGAAACUAAUAUAAACUGAGACAGUGAAGGUGUUUCUCUGUUCAUCAGAGGCUUCAUCAGCUCUACUGAGUGAACA